rnacentral:rRNA from 1 species
AACGAACGCUGGCGGCAGGCCUAACACAUGCAAGUCGAACGCCCUAGCAAUAGGGAGUUGCAGACGGGUGAGUAACACGUGGGAACCUUCCCUAUAGUACGGAAUAGCCCAGGGAAACUUGGAGUAAUACCGUAUACGCCCGAGAGGGGAAAGAUUUAUCGCUAUAGGAUGUGCCCGCGUCCGAUUAGCUAGUUGGUGAGGUAAUGGAUCACCAAGGCAACGAUCCGUAGCUGGUUUGAGAGAAUGACCAGCCACACUGGGACUUAGACACGGCCCAGACUCCUAAGGGAGGCAGCCGUGGGGAAUCUUGGACAAGGGGCGAAAGCCUGAGCCGGCCAUGCCGCGUGAGUGAUGAAGGCCUUAGGGUUGUAAAGCUCUUUUGCCGGUGACGAUAAUGACGGUACCCGGAGAAUAAGUCCCGGCUAACUUCGUGCCAUCCGCCGCCGUAA